rnacentral:rRNA from 1 species
AGAACGAACGCUGGCGGCAGGCCUAAAACAUGCAAGUCGAACGCUCUAGCAAUAGAGAGUGGCGCACGGGUGCGUAACAUGUGGGAAUAUGCCUUUUGGUACGGAACAACUUUUGGAAACGAAAGCUAAUACCGUAUGGUCCCUUCGGGGUAAAGAUUUAUCGCCAAAAGAGUAGCCCGCACUGGAUUAGCUAGUUGGUAAGGUAAUGGCUUACCAAGGCGACGAUCCAUAGCUGGUCUGAGAGGACGACCAGCCACACUGGGACUGAGACACGGCCCAGACUCCUACGGGAGGCAGCAGUUAGGAAUCUUGGACAAUGGGCGAAAGCCUGAUCCAGCCAUGCCGCGUGAGUGAUGAAGGCCUUCGGGUUGUAAAGCUCUUUAGCCGACGAAUAUAAUGACUGUAGUCGGAGAAUAAGCCCCGGCUAACUUCGUGCCAGCAGCCGC